rnacentral:rRNA from 1 species
CCCUUAGAUGUUCUGGGCUGCACGCGCGCUACACUGAUGCGCUCAACGAGUUUUAACCUUGCCUGGAAAGGUUGGGUAAUCUUUUUAAAACGCAUCGUGAUGGGGAUAGAUUAUUGCAAUUAUUGGUCUUCAACGAGGAAUUCCUAGUAGACGUAGUUCAUCAGACUGCAUCGAUUACGUCCCUGCCCUUUGUACACACCGCCCGUCGCUCCUACCGAUUGAAUGCUCAGGUGAGCCAUUCGGACUUUCAUCAUGCUGGUUUCCAGUUUUGAUGAAGGAAAGUCUUGCGAACCUUAUCAUUUAGAGGAAGGAGAAGUCGUAACA